GACGGAGGGUGCAAGCGUUGCUCGGAAUCAUUGGGCGUAAAGGGUGCGUAGGCGGCUUCUUAAGUCUGACGUGAAAGCCCAGGGCCUAGCCUUGGAAGUGCGUCAGAAACUGAGAAGCUUGAGUGCCGGAGGGGAGAGUGGAAUUCCUGGUGUAGCGGUGAAAUGCGUAGAUAUCAGGAGGAAUACCGGUGGCGAAAGCGACUCUCUGGACGGCAACUGACGCUGAGGCACGAAAGCGUGGGUAGCAAACAGG
rnacentral:rRNA from 1 species